AAUGUUUUGCUAGAGACCGCUUA
rnacentral:siRNA from 1 species